GACGAACCGUCCAAGCGUUAUUCGGAAUUACUGGGCUUAAAGGGUGCGUAGGCGGCUCUGCAAGUUGGGUGUGAAAUCCCUCGGCUCAACCGAGGAAUGGCGCACAAAACUGUGGAGCUCGAGGGAGACAGAGGUGAGUGGAACUUGUGGUGGAGCGGUGAAAUGCGUUGAUAUCACAAGGAACACCGGUGGCGAAAGCGGCUCACUGGGUCUCUUCUGACGCUGAGGCACGAAAGCUGGGGGAGCGAACGGGAUUAGAUACCCCUGUA
rnacentral:rRNA from 1 species